rnacentral:misc_RNA from 1 species
AAGUCGUAACAAGGUAACCGUAGGUGAACCUGCGGUUGGAUCAUUAAAAAUGAAUAAAGAGUUUGACCAAAAAUUAGGCUCUUUUUUACAUUUGUGAAUUGUUUAUUGUCUCUUGCUCAUUUUAAUUAAUGGGCAACAACCUUAUAAAACCUAGUAUUGAAAAUUGACUUUGUUGAAUUAAUUAAAUUUAAAACAACUUUUGACAACGGAUCUCUAGGCUCUC